rnacentral:tRNA from 1 species
GGCCAGAUGGUGGAAUUGGCAGACACGCACGACUCAAAAUCGUGUGCCGAAAGGCAUGAGGGUUCGAGUCCCUCUCUGGCCA